ensembl:snRNA U6 U6 spliceosomal RNA
CUGCUCACUUCAGCAGCACAUACACUAAAAUUAAAAUGAUACAGAGAAGAUUAGCAUGGCCCCUGCACAAGGAUGACAUGCAAAUUCGUGAAGCAUUCCAUAUUUUU